UGGGGAAUUGUUCGCAAUGGGCGCAAGCCUGACGACGCAACGCCGCGUGGAGGAUGAAGAUUUUCGGAUCGUAAACUCCUUUCGAUCGGGACGAAUCGUUCGCGACCUAAUACGUCGCGGAACUGACGGUACCGAGAGAAGAAGCCCCGGCUAACUCCGUGCCAGCAGCCGCGGUAAUACGGGGGGGGCAAGCGUUGUUCGGAAUUACUGGGCGUAAAGGGCGCGUAGGCGGCCUGCUAAGUCGGACGUGAAAUCCCUCGGCUCAACCGAGGAACUGCGUCCGAUACUGGUGGGCUUGAAUCCGGGAGAGGGAUGUGGAAUUCCAGGUGUAGCGGUGAAAUGCGUAGAUAUCUGGAGGAACACCGGUGGCGAAGGCGGCAUCCUGGACCGGUAUUGACGCUGAGGCGCGAAAGCCAGGGGAGCAAACGG
rnacentral:rRNA from 1 species